rnacentral:rRNA from 1 species
AAGGUUUCCGUAGGUGAACCUGCGGAAGGAUCAUUAUUGAAUAAACUUGUGUGGGUUGUUGCUGACCUCCUUGGAGGUAUGUGCACACCUGCCAUUGUUUCAUUCAUCCCUUCCACCUGUGCACUCUCUGUAGGCCCCAUGCUGUCAUCUUUCAGGUGUUUCUACCCCUGGUAUGAGGACUGCUCUUGCUGUCCUUGGAUGGUGUGUGGUCUAUGUCUUUACCAACUCCUAUUGUAUGUCAUUGAAUGUUUGCUCUGGGUUCUCUCUGUAGACCCAUAAAAAUCUAUACAACUUUCAACAACGGAUCUCUUGGCUCUCGCAUCGAUGAAGAACGCAGCGAAAUGCGAUAAGUAAUGUGAAUUGCAGAAUUCAGUGAAUCAUCGAAUCUUUGAACGCACCUUGCGCUCCUUGGCAUUCCGAGGAGCAUGCCUGUUUGAGUGUCAUUAAAUUCUCAACACCCUCUUUCUCUCUUGUGGGUCAGUGGAUGUUGGAUGAUGGAAGCUUGCUGGCUUUUGUGGGUCAGCUCUUCUGAAAUGCAUUAGCAGGGCCACCGUAUACACAGCUGUGGCUUCGGUAUUGAUGGUUGUCAUACCCAAGCAACAGAUGAGUGAUGUGCUCAGCUCAUAGCCGUCUCUCUGAGACAACAAACUUGACAAUUUGACCUCAAAUCAGGUAGGACUA